rnacentral:lncRNA from 1 species
CGGAGGCUAACAGGUUUGCCGGAGAAGGCAGGGGUGAGCCACGGUGGCUGCCCGGCUGUGCACCGGCGCCGGAGUUUGGACCAAGACAAAGACAGGAGCUGUCCGCGGUGCUGAAUCGGCGGCGCCGUCGCCGGAGCAAGGGGGCUUCUGUAACCAGCCCUCUGCUCAUUUACUCCCCAUCCUUCUAGCUCCCCUUCGCUCUGUGACUCUUGCCUUCCCCUGAAUUUAUUUCCCUUUUGGGGGACUCACCUUAGAACCUGCGCCCUGUACACAGGUGUAUAUACAUAUAUCAAAGAACAAAACGAUUGAUU